rnacentral:lncRNA from 1 species
UCAACUUAUCAUGUCCUACGUCAGAAGAAAUGUCAAAAAGAUAGGAAAAACAAACAAAUAUUCCACAAAAAUCAUAAAAUAGAAAAUUAAAAUAAAGAAAUAUUGUUAUUACUUAAUACUGAAAGUUUUGUAAUUAAGGGGGUAAAUCUCGAUUCUUUUUACCCCUAAAAACCGCGCAAUGGAAGACCAACCCAAGGUUUUUAUGCCUCGUGAGCGACAUCCGCCUCCUCAGCCGAGGCCUCGUCAGGCGCCACCAGAGCCGCGUCGCGCCACCGCCACUCCUCCACCGCAACCACGCGAGCGACAGAAUCCACCACCACCCAGAGAACGGCAAACUCCACCACUUCCCAAACCUAAAACGGUACAUUUACCCACGAAUGAAUAAACUAAUUGUUUUAAAAUAAGAGUGGCAUUCACAAGAUUCACGUGGACAUUCACAUUUACAUAAUCCUGCAAUUACUGUGAUUAAUAAUCUGUAGAGUACUCGAGAAAACUUGAACAGGUUUUUGUAGUCAUUUCUUAUGUACAUCAACAAACUGACAACCGGGACAUUGCUCACCCUAAGACCUCCUUAAUCCGGCCCUACCCAUUCUUAGUGGACACCUACUAACUAUAAACUACCUCCCUGCUAAAUUUCAUCUAUGUACAUCAAGUGUGAUGAGUGACCUUUUACAAUUAUACAUAUAUUAAGAUUUGCAAAGUUGUACAAAUACAUGUACAUGUUAGUUAACUGUUGCUGCAGAUCAAAAGAAAAAAAGAAGAGAGGGAUUCUUGAGUUUAGACCCACCAUGCUGUUCAAAUGCAGAUUAGUGGACUGUAUUAGUGGGAUUGUAAUGUUGAACUUUUUUAUGAUCACUAGCACAAAGCAUUUAUGAUUUGUCAGUUUUCUAAUAAAUUUACUUGUAUUCUUGUGGAUACCAAAUUAGCUGUGAUUUUAUAAUAUUUUUUACAUAUUUACUCUCGCAAAUAGUAUUGGUCAAAUAUUAUUAUGCGUAAUAUAUGUUUUUUUAUUGAUAAUUGCUACCUAAAUUUUAUUUUUAUUAACUUUGUAAUUUUAACAUAUUACAUAUAACUUUUUAUACUUUUUGAAUAUACUUUUUACACUAAAUACAAGUGAUAUAAUUAUAUAGAAUACACAAAAAUUUUGACAAAGCAAUACAAAAUUAUAAAGGUUUACAGGAUGGAUCAGAUAAAAUUAAAAGAUAUUUUAAGCUGUUGCAUUAUAUUAAGUGUUUUAGGUGUUUGUUUCUUGUUAAAUUGUAAUGUUUUGAUAAAAAUAUUUCAUUGACCAUUUUAUUUUUUGAAUUGUUCAAUAAAAUGAAAAAAAAAAGAAAUAAUUUUACAUAAGAAAUUAUAAUUCAUUUACUGUAAAGAAAGCUAAAAUUAUCAUUUCAAUUCAUUUUAUCAUUCAAGAUUUUCCAGUCAAAUCUAAGAUUUACCAACUCUCAUGGUAAAACCAUGUAAAAGUACUAAAAUUCACUUUAGUUUCUACCUUGUCUCGAAAUUUUGUGAUUUUAACCGUCCAUUUGGAUAUUCAGUAAUUACUAUAACAGUAACAUAAUAUAAGUUAUUCAAGUGUUACCUUAUUAUUACUUUAUAAAGCGAGUCGCGAUUAUAUUUUUUACACCUA